rnacentral:rRNA from 1 species
CGCCUCUUGACCACUAUAAGAGGUCUAGCCUGCCCAGUGACCAAUUUAACGGCCGCGGUACCCUAACCGUGCGAAGGUAGCAUAAUCACUUGUUUCCUAAAUAGAGACUAGCAUCAACGGCAUCACGAAGACUAUACUGUCUUCCCCCUAAAAUCAAUGAAACUAAUCCCCUCGUGAAGAAGCGAGGAUAAAAAUAUAAGACGAGAAGACCCCAUGGAGCUUUAAACGAACUUUAAUUGCUCUUAAUCUUACCAUAAAAAACGAGCACUAAUAAAAGAUAGUUUUCGGUUGGGGUGACCACGGAGUAAAACAAAACCUCCACAGUGAAUGUAAUAAUACUAAUACAAGAACUACAAUUCUAAUAAUCAAAAAAUUGACACACUUGACCCAAACACUUGAUCAAUGAACCAAGUUACCCUGGGGAUAACAGCGCAAUCCAUUUUAAGAGCCCCUAUCGACAAAUGGGUUUACGACCUCGAUGUUGGAUCAGGGUAUCCUAGUGGUGCAGCCGCUACUAAUGGUUCGUUUGUUCAACGAUUAAAACCCUACGUGAUCU